AAUGAGAAUUUGUUAAGGCUUAGCUUAUGUGGCAGAGAGCACAGGAGCAGUUGGGGAAUUUGGCACAGGAUGCAUUGUUUGCUUUAACCACUGAGUGGUUCAUCAGAACUCCUGCUGGGCUAGUGGUCACAGAGCAAGGCAGUGUGCUGCCAAAAGCAUCGGCAGCCCUGGCCACUUCUGCAUUAUAAACUGCAGUGACUUAAUUGUGAUGGCAGUGGCAGAUCUAAUAGAGACAAACUGGUGAGCAUCAUCCUGAGCUUUUGCAACCGUGAAUCUUCCACAGCAAUUUGAUAGCUUUGGUCUUGGAAGCAUCAGAUGCAUCAGUACAGUGUUACAUCUGGACUAAAAAAACCCUCAUUUCUCUGGACUCAGACACUGACCAGCAUUGGCUCUGCUGUUUGUCUAAACAGUAGCUCUUUCAGUUGUUUCUGCAAUGGGUUUUGAAUAAUAAAAUUUAAUGUUGUUGGAAAACAAUGUAUUUAAUGAUCAAGACACUAGCACUGCUGUCAUUACCUUUAUAUGAUAGGGAAGAGCUGUCACUACCCUUUUACAAUUCCCUUUCACUCUAUUGUCACUAACCUUUCACAAUAAGAGUAGUGAAGCAAUGGAACAGGAUGCUCUGUCCCUGGAGACGCUCAAGGUCAGCCUGGACUGGUCUCUGAGCACCUCGACCUGGCUGUCGAUGUCCCUGUUCAUUGCAGGGGAUUUGGAUUAGAUGACCUUUAAAGGACCCUCCCAACUCAAAUGAUUCUAUGAUUCUAUUCUAUGAUCUCAUCUUGAGCUGAUGUCAUCUGUAAAAUGAAGGUCUGUGAGCCUCUGCUCUUGCACUCUGUAGAUACACCUAAGUGAAAUGCUGACAUCGCAACCCAGCCAGCUGUGCAAACCCUUGUUUGUAUUGCGUGGUCAUUGGUGUUUGAGAACAGGGGAUCAUAAUGUCACCCACUCCCUGGAUAUGUUCUUAUUAAGGGCUUUACUGUUGUAACUGUGGCUGGACAUGUCCUCCUGGUGUAGCCCUGUUAUGUUCUUCAGCAUUUGCCUCCCAGAAAUAACAUCCAUUGUGUAGCAUUCUGAGAACUACAUAUGGAAAUGUGUAUGUUCCAUAUGUAGUGUGGAGCUACACUACAUAUAGUAGUGUAUGUACUGUCAUUAGGAGAGAAGUGAUAACCGUUGUUUUUAUUCCCCACAGGAGGGAAGCUUUUCCACUUUCACUAAACUCUGAGUUCUCUGGAGCUCCAGAAGAGCAUUAAGUUCUGUGAAGAGCAGGCUAAUUCAAUAGAAAAGGUCUGUGAUGGCAGUCCCAAAGGAGUGGAGCAGCAGCAGCAGGACUGAAGGACAGCUUGUCGCUAAGCAACCAACGUACACAGGCUGCUCAGCACUCAUUUCAUUUGCAAAGGGACGUGUUCUUCGAGCACUUCAUUUUCACUGCUGGGCACAACGAAUUUCCCACUGGCUUUCCAGCACUGUGCAUGUAUAAAAUAGCCAUUUUUCACAACCAAAUGUGCUGUUUAAAGAGCAGAUGCCAGAGAAGAACAUGCAGAAUUGUAAGGAUUGGAAAAUUGGCACAAGUAUUUCAGGACUUUCUGAUGUCAGACUCCUGCAUUUGCCUCUUUGUUUCUGUGUUCAUCCUACCUGCAAAGGGGCUGUCUUGAUAUGGGCUGCUGGAUGUGUAGCAGCACUGUCUGCAGUUUAGCCAUGUUUAUUGAUGUGCCCUCUUGUGAAGAGUGCUCUAUCAUGGUUUUUACAGGCACAGGGAAAUACAUUCUCUCUGAUUAAAAUAAAAGGCAGAAUUGGACCCCAGUUCCCAGUAUGAAGAUUCCAAAUCUCAAAUUCUGUAAUUCUUUCAGAACAGCUACAUAGUUUUAGAAAAUGAGCAUCGAGUGCAGUACAUCUAACAUAGCUUUCAAUUAGUGCUGGUCCCUAUAGUGACAUAAAGCCCUAUAGCUCU